UAAUUGAAGAGUUUGAUCAUGGCUCAGAUUGAACGCUGGCGGCAGGCUUAACACAUGCAAGUCGAGCGGUAGCACAAGAGAGCUUGCUCCUCUGGGUGACGAGCGGCGGACGGGUGAGUAAUGUCUGGGAAACUGCCUGAUGGAGGGGGAUAAC
rnacentral:rRNA from 1 species